GACGAACGCUGGCGGCGUGCUUAACACAUGCAAGUCGAACGGAAAGGCCCUGCUUUUGUGGGGUGCUCGAGUGGCGAACGGGUGAGUAACACGUGAGUAACCUGCCCUUGACGUUGGGAUAACUUCAGGAAACUGGGGCUAAUACCGGAUAGGAGCGCCUGCUGCAUGGGGGGGGUUGGAAAGUUUCGGCGGUUGGGGAUGGACGCGCGGCUUAUCAGCUUGUUGGUUGGGGAGCGGCUUAGCAAGGGUUUGACGGGUAGCCGGCCUGGGAGGGUGGCCGGCCACCUUGGGCCUGCGAUACGGCCCAGACUCCUACGGGAGGCAGCAGUGGGGAGUCUUGUCCAAUGGGGGCACGCCUGAUGCAGCAACCCCGCGUGCGGGAUGACGGCCUUCGGGUUGUAAACCGCUUUCGCCUGUGACGAAGCGUGAGUGACGGUAAUGGGUAAAGAAGCACCGGCUAACUACGUG
rnacentral:rRNA from 1 species